AAAAAUAGAAGGAUGUAUACAUGUCAAUACAUACUCCUUAUGAAAAAGAAAAAAAAAAGAGAAGAAAAAAGAGAAAGGAGAAAAAAUAUGAAUGAAAAUAGUUAAUAUAGAGUUGUUGAAGUGAAUGAAAUAUUUUGUAAAUUCAACUCCCGCAAUUUCUUUCAAGUCUCUUUUGUCUCUUUGAAUUUUAGCCUAGUACCCCUUAGGAUUU
rnacentral:lncRNA from 1 species